UACGUAGGUGGCAAGCGUUGUCCGGAUUUAUUGGGGUUAAAGGGUGCGUAGGCGGCUUUGUAAGUCAGUGGUGAAAUAUGGCAGCUCAACUGUCAGGGUGCCAUUGAUACUGCAGAGCUUGAGUACAGAUGAGGUAGGCGGAAUUGACGGUGUAGCGGUGAAAUGCUUAGAUAUCGUCAAGAACACCGAUAGCGAAGGCAGUUUACUAGGCUGUAACUGACGCUGAGGCACGAAAGUGUGGGGAUCAAACAGG
rnacentral:rRNA from 1 species